rnacentral:rRNA from 1 species
UAGUUAGCAGUGACUUAUUCUUCAGGUACCGUCACAAAUUCGUCCCUGAUAAAAGAUCUUUACACUCCGAAAAGCUUCAUCGAUCACGCGACAUUGCUCCUUCAGACUUUCGUCCAUUGAGGAAGAUUCUUGA